rnacentral:rRNA from 1 species
UGCCAGCCGCCGCGGUAAUACGGAGGGUGCAAGCGUUAAUCGGAAUUACUGGGCGUAAAGCGCGCGUAGGCGGAUAAUUAAGUCGGAUGUGAAAUCCCCGGGCUCAACCUGGGAACUGCAUCCGAUACUGGUUAUCUAGAGUACGAUAGAGGGUGGUAGAAUUUCUUGUGUAGCGGUGAAAUGCGUAGAUAUAAGAAGGAAUACCAGUGGCGAAGGCGGCCACCUGGAUCGAUACUGACGCUGAGGUGCGAAAGCGUGGGGAGCAAACAGGAUUAGAUA